UACGUAGGGGGCUAGCGUUGUCCGGAUUUAUUGGGCGUAAAGAGAGUGUAGGCGGCCUGGUAGGUCUGCUGUGAAAACUCGAGGCUCAACCUCGAGAUGUCGGCGGAAACCAUCUGGCUAGAGUCCGGAAGAGGAGAGUGGAAUUCCUGGUGUAGCGGUGAAAUGCGCAGAUAUCAGGAAGAACACCUAUGGCGAAGGCAGCUCUCUGGGACGGUACUGACGCUGAGACGCGAAAGCGUGGGGAGCGAACAGG
rnacentral:rRNA from 1 species